GCAUAAGUGUUGUUUUCUUCAACCUCCCACCCCCCACUUAGCGCUAACCUCCUAAGAAAAAGCUAACCUCCCGUAUCCUCCUCCACCUUAUUAUGUCUAGUCCGCGCAAAAAGAAAAACAAAUUUUCACAUCCCAUCUCUCCAUCCCCCAAUUCCUCUUUCAGCCGAGAUCCAUGGGCCAUGACUCUGCCGCCACGACCUCCGGUUCGGCCUAGCUCUAGUGCUCUCCCACGCCCUUGCUCGCUGGCCCUAGCUCCCCCCCUGAGUACUAUCCUCUGAUCUUCCGCCGCCGUGACAUGACAUCCUCCGGGCCCUUGCACGUGCCCCUGGAGCAACCCUAGUCUCAACGGGUCACCGCUGCAGCUCCCUGCUCCUCCGGUUCGUCAACUCAUUAACCCCUGCAUCUCCACACGCAUGGGUGCUGCCCCUGGCUCGACGGUGCUGCUCCGCGUGGCUAACUCCACUCCAACAACAAUGGUUUAGGUUUGCCGUCGUGGCGUCGUAGAUCACGGCUGGAUACAACAAAAAUCGCGACCACUCUCUACGGGGAGGCUGCCAUGGUCGCCUACGGCUUACCCCACCGUUCAGGCGCUCACCUAGAUUCAUGUCCCUCAACGACGUGGUUGUCCCCUUAUCCUCAAUGAUCCAUUCCCCCCUAAUUAACAACAUGGCGGCUUCUAUAAUUCUAUUGGCAUGUGGUGCCCCAACUUCUCUAAACUUCCACUUGUGCAAUGGGAGGACCAAUUAGAACAAAAUAAUUAUUUUACCUUGGAUGAUCAUUCACCAGUCUUGUUUCCACAUCAAUGGCUGCAUCUUUCGAGACUUAUCAGGAGUGAGUCUAGUUUUCCGUCGAAACAAGGGUGAGUGCGCAUUAUUUAUUCACUCCUUUUACAAAAGCUUCUGUUGUCAAGGAGGAGAUAUUCGGUAAUAAGGAGAGGUUAUAUGAAUCAUAGUCUAAACAUCCCGGACUUGCCAGCAUACGAAGGUAUGUGGGUAAAAAAAUUGUUUCGUUUGAACAUUUUUGUUUAGUUUCAGUUAAUUCUAAAUACUGAAAUCUUUGUACUUAUGUUCAAGUUAUGAUGAAUUGCAAUCAUUUUUAGACCAGAAAGAUGCAUCACAACAAAGCCGCUUCGCACAAUGCUGUACUACAUCUUUUAUUCUCACUAGUAUGUGAAUUUUAAGUUUUUACUUAAUUAUUGAACUAUGGUCUUGCAGGUUAAUAUAAAGAUACAAAAGCUACUUGAGGUAAUCAUAUUGCGAAUUUUAUGAGUUCUGGGAAGAUAAAUAGGACCAACGAUGAUGAGAGCACGUCAAUGACAUCACAUAGAUUCAGGAUGCAGGACGUUUCCCCAUCUGCCCGCAACCAAAAUGCAGUAUAGCGGCAACUAGCAGGAACUAUCUUCAGGAUAUGGAGCUAUGGAUGCCAUGAGACACUGAUCAUUUGCGUUUUAGUUGAUGAAGAUUGAACAUGUCAGUCUAGAUGCUCCUGUGCUGAGCUUAGGUUUUGUUUUAUGCAAUGAAGCUUUGAUCCAUUUCUAGGUACAGUGCACAUGUUCUUGCUAUACACAUGUGUACAAGCUGAAUGUAAUACUUAGAACAAAGCAUAUCUAUAUACAAUAUCAUGUACUUUGGAUGGUGUUCUUUGUAAAGCAACAUUGUUGAUUUAAUAUAUGAGGUCUUUCUUA